GACGAACGCUGGCGGCGUGCCUAAUACAUGCAAGUAGAACGCUGAAGAGAGGAGCUUGCUCUUCUUGGAUGAGUUGCGAACGGGUGAGUAACGCGUAGGUAACCUGCCUUGUAGCGGGGGAUAACUAUUGGAAACGAUAGCUAAUACCGCAUAACAAUGGAUGACACAUGUCAUUUAUUUGAAAGGGGCAAUUGCUCCACUACAAGAUGGACCUGCGUUGUAUUAGCUAGUAGGUGAGGUAAUGGCUCACCUAGGCGACGAUACAUAGCCGACCUGAGAGGGUGAUCGGCCACACUGGGACUGAGACACGGCCCAGACUCCUACGGGAGGCAGCAGUAGGGAAUCUUCGGCAAUGGGGGCAACCCUGACCGAGCAACGCCGCGUGAGUGAAGAAGGUUGUCGGAUCGUAAAGCUCUGUUGUAAGUCAAGAACGGGUGUGAGCGUGGAAAGUUCACACUGUGACGGUAGCUUACCAGAAAGGGACGGCUAACUACGUG
rnacentral:rRNA from 1 species